ensembl:lncRNA
GUCCCAGACACCUGCUUGCUACUUAUUGAGAGGGAUAUUAAUAAGAGCUAAUAUUUAUUGAAUAUCUACUAUGCACUACGUAUCUUACGCUCCUUAAAUCUAACUCAUUUAAGUCUUCCCAACCGCCCCAUCCGGUGGCUAAUUAUUAUUCUCAUUUUACGAUGAGGUAACAGGAGUCACAAACAAGUAACUUGCUUAAGGUCACAAUAAAGGGCUUUACGUGAGAGGCUGAAAGAUGGAAAACACAAGGGCCCCUCGCUCUGUGACUCAGCGCUCCCACAUGCCCCAGCCUCCCAGCUUCCAACAAAGCCUCUCCCGUGGUCUUUAACAGCUUCACACCCUGCCCCAGGAUCCUCGCGGCCUCACCACGCAGGAGCGCGCGUGCACAGAGGCUCCCCCAGCACCACCACCCUCAGUUUAAACUUCCCCGAACUCAGCGCUGCCCACCCCACCCCCGCCCGCAGGCAAGUGGGCGCGGCUCACCUUGGCGCCGGGGUGCGCGC